CAGAGCGGCUGCAGCGGGGGCGGGAAGGAGAGCAGCGAGCGAGGCCGGAUCCGGCAGGCGCUGGCGCGGAGCUGCCGAGCAGCGAGGCGAGCGCAGGGCCGCGAGCGUGUGGGCAGAGAGCCGGGCUGCCCCCGAGGGGCUCCUCGAGGGCGGCAGCAGCACCCCCGGCCGCCAGCAUGCCCGGACUGCCCGCACAGGGCGGCGCCGGCGCCGGCGCGCGGAGGGAGCGCGGGCCGCGGCGGGGGUGCGCGGCCCCCUGCGCCCCCGCGGAGGCGCGCGGAGGGCGCCCCUGAGCUCACAGAGGGGCCGCGCGCUGCGCUGCGCUGCGCUGCGCAGUGUUGCGUUGUGCUGCGUUGUGCUGCGGGGCAGUGCGGUGUUUUGCGCUGCGCUGCGUUGGGCUGCGGGGCGGUGCAGUGCGUUGUGCCGCGCCGCGUUCCGCAGACGCCGCUCCGCGCGCGUUGCUCGAGGGCGCCGGCGGCGGGCGGCUGCUGGCGGCGGGCAGCAUGGUGCGAGCGCGGGGGGCGUCCGGCCCCGGGUGCCGCCUGCUGCUGCUGCUCGGCCUCCUGGCGGCCCUGCGUGCCCGGGACAGCCGGGCUGCUCCGCGGGCAGCGCCGGGCCCAGCGGUGGCUGCUGGUGAUGCUGGUGCUUGGCCGGAUGCAGGACUGAAGGCUUGGGAAGAUGCUGGAGGCAGUGGUCUUCCAGAUUCUCAGCUGAAUCUGCUUUUUGAGCAUCAGAGGGAUGCCAGGGGUAAG